AGCCCUUCAUGUCUGCCAUGCCUCCUGCCUUCCCCAGCAAUCAUUCAUUGACAAAGCGACAAUGGAAGAAAACGUCGCUUGGAUUCUUAUCUUCACCGCAUGCACAGCCUCAUCGCCAGGAUGACAAUUAACAGAGGGUGCAGAGAAGCAUUUACACCUCCGACAGCGCCUGGCAAUGGUGUAUGAGAUCAUCUAGAGAGUACCAUAUGCUUCUCCACCUAACCAACGCACUGCCUAGCUUGUACCAUCUGUCACAGAAACGCUCCUCCCCACCAUGGGCAUCACCACAAGCCGCUCUGAGGACUUCGUUAUCCAUGUGUGUCGUUUACAUCUCACACAAGUCCUCCCUCAUACUCCCCUCUUCCCAACAGGCCAGUCAGGAUUCUCUGCUAAACUUUAUCAAUUUAUUUUGUUGCAUCUGCUUUUGUUUUAAUUUGCUUUUUCCAUAUUAGAGGAUUUGAGGGGAAUUCACUGUUGGUAUGGCAGCUGGAAGGCCCCACCUGUUUGUUGUGGAUGGAGACAUUUUUAAGCUCUGAUGUCUAUUCAGGGUAGACAUAUUCUGUAAUUAACAUGUGCUGUAGGGCUGUCACCUUUAAUUCGAACUGGAACUAAUGUUUGAACAUGGGAAAUAAUUAAAUAUUUGAUCUGUAAUGAUCUGUCCCAAUUCAGAAUUCACACUCUGUAAGUACAGGAAGUCGUGCCUUAUACUCGAGAUCAUCAAUAAAUCAUUUUCAGUCUUUUUAGUCUUCUAUUAUAGUACACUGAAUGUUUCUGGGUUUGGGGGCAUUGGCAAAAACA